AGUGACUGGAGCUCCAGCCUUGCAGCAGGGUCUGUCCUGAGGAACCUUGGGCCUGAUUUGCAGCUACGCUGGGAGGGACCUCCCUUCUCUGAGAGACUGUUGCUUUCUCAGGUCUCUGCAACACAAUUUCCCAUCUUCUACAGAGUCACAGGAUCUAGAAUCACAUAGGAUAAAAGGAUCUGGGCACAUCUGUGAAGACAUUUUUGGAUUGGGCUGAGAUAGGAAGACUCAUCCUGAAUGUGGUGGCACCAUUCCCUAGGCUGGAGUGUUGGACCGAAUCAAAAGGAGAAACCUCUGGUAACCAUCACUCCAGGCUGUCUCUAUGGAGAUACUAAGGACCUCGUGCAAGAGGAAUCAGCAGCAUCUGCCUUUCUGGCUCCUUUCAGUCUAGACUGCUGUUGGGCUCAGCCUAUCUACUUGUUAAAUUUUGCCUUGGCUUUGAUCGUGCACAUGGACUGUUGGGAUCAUUCUGAAUUUUCAUUAUAUCAUUUCUGACAAUUGCUCUCCAGAUUGGUGUCAUCUGAAUAAUUGAUUGGCAAAUAUUUUUGAAAGGAUAAAGCCAAGGACAUACUCCUGUAUUCAACCAGCAGAAAUUUUUAUUCUCAUUGACAUUGAGCCACGAAUCAACACUUUUUGAUUGCAGCUGUUCAAAUGGCCAGAGUGCUAUGGAAGAAUGUAAAUGACAAUGGUGAAGACAGCACUGCAAAGAUAUCCUGUAUCUCUCGGGGAAUUCUUAAGUUGAAUGCAGUUCAAGGAAAAUCCCAACAAGUUACCUUCAUACAACCUGAUGAGCUGAAUCUCAGUUUCAUUCGAGAGAGCACAGGAAUGUACUGAUUGAGGGAGAAAUAACAAGAACGGAGGGAAUGCAUCUUUUUAGAAAUCAGAACUCAAGACUAUUAUAAAGCUAUAAUGAUUAGCACUGUUUGGUAUUGGCACCGAAGAGGAAAAAGAUCAAAGGAACAGAAAAGAGAUUCCAGGAAUAAAACAGCAAAGCAGCAUGUACGUAGCAAUUUGCAGUGGUACAGGGUGCAUUGCACAUCUUUUGGAACACAGAGGUAAUUACAAAGUGACACUGGCCUAUGUGGCAAUCUGGAGUGAAAAACAGUGUUCUCUCUCUAGCUCAGAUCUGCACUAAAACAGGUCCUAGGGUGUUUAAAGAUGAAAA
rnacentral:lncRNA from 1 species